UAAAGUAAUGAGGUUGAUCUGAAGCUUUUUAUUGGCUCUUCAACACAAAGGUCAAAAGUCAAGGUUCACUAGCCUCAUCCACCAGUGGGACCAACUUCAGCCUGACAGGGGUUCAGGAAGGUCAAAGGUCAGGCUCAACCCCAUUCUUUCAGUCUGGAUAAAUAAAUUAGGGAAAUGACUUUAAAUGCCUCCUUCCUUCUGAUAUACGCUAGUCUCCUUCCUUUUUUCUUAUGUUCCCUAGUCUCCUUCCUUCCUCUUGAUGAUCCCUAGUCGUCUUCCUUCCUUGUGUUCUACCUUCUGCAUCUCCUUGUUUCCUAAGCUCGUUAAACCUCCUCCUUUCCUUUCUUGGGUCCUGCCUCCUGCCUCUAUCCUCUUCCUUCCUGUUUAAGACCGUCUGCUGAGGAAAUAAUUUUCCAUAAAUUCACCAUGAUUUUUCAUAUCUGUUGUGUUCCGGCUCUUUACUCCGGGCGCCUCGUCGCCCCGGGACGGUGCUCCUGAACUCCCGGGAUCAGAACGCUUGGAUAUCCUCAUUUUAAUUAAAUGUAUUAAAAGUAUUUUUGCUUCUGGAAAGAGAAAUAAAAUAAAACUCAAGAAAAUUGU